CCUACGGGCGGCAGCAGUGAGGAAUAUUGGUCAAUGGACGCAAGUCUGACCCAGCCAUGCCGCGUGCAGGAAGACGGCUCUAUGGUUUGUAAACUGCUUUUGUACGAGGGUAAACGCAGGUACGCGUAUCUGUCUGAAAGUAUCGUACGCAUAAGGAUCGGCUAACUCCGUCCCAGCAGCCGCGGUAAUACGGAGGAUUCAAGCGUUAUCCGGAUUUAUUGGGUUUAAAGGGUGCGUAGGCGGGCGGAUAAGUUAGAGGUGAAAUCCCGGGGCUCAACUUCGGAAUUGCCUCUGAUACUGUUUGGCUAGAGAGUAGUUGCGGUAGGCGGAAUGUAUGGUGUAGCGGUGAAAUGCUUAGAGAUCAUACAGAACACCGAUUGCGAAGGCAGCAUACUGGCGCGCAACUGACGCUCAUGCACGAAAGCGUGGGGAUCGAACAGGAUUAGAUACCCGGGUAGUC
rnacentral:rRNA from 1 species